rnacentral:tRNA from 1 species
UCCAUGGUUGCUAAGUGGUAAAGAAUCUGCCUGCCAAGCAGGAGACGCAGGUUCGAUUCCUGGGUUGGGAA